AAAUCUGGGCAUGGCUUUUGGGAAUUAGGGUUUGUGCGCACAGUGAUCAUUCAUCAUCUUCAAUCAAGUUCAAAAAAUAAACUUUCCAGAAAUGCCAAUUGAAGGUACCAAUCGAUCCAGCCAAGCAUCCUCAUUAACAUUCUAACAUUUGUUUUCAGAAAAUCUAACUAACAACAAAGAAAUAAGCACAAACAUAAAUGACCAACAAACUUGAAUUCAGUGUAACUUUCUC
rnacentral:lncRNA from 1 species